ensembl:lncRNA
GAGUGGAGGUAGCAUACGCUGAAGUUAGACCCAAGAAAAAACACUUAGGCAAGGUGGACCAGGAAGUAAUAUACACCAAUGUGGGAAACAUUAGAAGAAAAUCACCCGAGAUGUCACUUCCUGAAAGUGAUGGGGAAGUCAUGUACAGUUCAGUUGUUACCCCCAGGGAUCAAUAAAGUAUUCUGAUUCUGAUUAGAAGAAAAUCACCCGAGGGUGAGGCAAAAGACACAGAAGUUACAUGCAGCACAUUAGCCAAUCACUACUGAAAUCUUUAAAUAUUAGAACUUUUGGCCUUUCUGUCUCUUUAUAUCUACCUUUUACUGGUGUUUUUGCAGGAUACAGUGUUUUUUUUUUUUUUUUACUGUCAGCAGAUCAGUCACCUAGCCAUGCAGUAUGGCUACAGAUUUGCAUUCUCCAAAGAGCUCACUGAACUGGUCCAGUAAUGGUAUAGUAAUAGGAUGGGACUGUUGCAACAAGUCAG